rnacentral:rRNA from 1 species
AACUUAGCAUAUCCAUAAGCGGGGGAAAAGAAACCAACAGGGAUUGCCCUAGUAACGGCGAGUGAAGCGGCAACAGCUCAAAUUUGAAAUCUGGCCUCGGCCCGAGUUGUAAUUUGCAGAGGAAGCUUUAGGCGCGGCACCUUCUGAGUCCCCUGGAACGGGGCGCCAUAGAGGGUGAGAGCCCCGUAUAGUUGGAUGCCUAGCCUGUGUAAAGCUCCUUCGACGAGUCGAGUAGUUUGGGAAUGCUGCUCAAAAUGGGAGGUAAAUUUCUUCUAAAGCUAAAUACCGGCCAGAGACCGAUAGCGCACAAGUAGAGUGAUCGAAAGAUGAAAAGCACUUUGAAAAGAGGGUUAAACAGCACGUGAAAUUGUUGAAAGGGAAGCGCUUGUGACCAGACUUGCGCCAGGCCGAUCAUCCGGUGUUCUCACCGGUGCACUCGGCCCGGCACAGGCCAGCAUCGGUUCUCGCGGGGGGAUAAAGGUCCCGGGAACGUAGCUCCUCCGGGAGUGUUAUAGCCCGGGGCGUAAUGCCCUCGCGGGGACCGAGGUUCGCGCAUCUGCAAGGAUGCUGGCGUAAUGGUCAUCAGCGACCCGUCUUGAAACACGGACCAAGGAGUCAAGGUUUUGCGCGAGUGUUUGGGUGUCAAACCCGCACGCGUAAUGAAAGUGAACGUAGGUGAGAGCUUCGGCGCAUCAUCGACCGAUCCUGAUGUUUUCGGAUGGAUUUGAGUAGGAGCGUUAAGCCUUGGACCCGAAAGAUGGUGAACUAUGCUUGGAUAGGGUGAAGCCAGAGGAAACUCUGGUGGAGGCUCGCAGCGGUUCUGACGUGCAAAUCGAUCGUCAAAUCUGAGCAUGGGGGCGAAAGACUAAUCGAACCAUCUAGUAGCUGGGUUACCCCCGAAGUUUCC